rnacentral:rRNA from 1 species
ACAAUGGAGAGUUUGAUCCUGGCUCAGGAUGAACGCUAGCUACAGGCUUAACACAUGCAAGUCGAGGGGAAACGACAUUGAAGCUUGCUUCAAUGGGCGUCGACCGGCGCACGGGUGAGUAACGCGUAUCCAACCUGCCUCUGACUAAGGGAUAACCCGGCGAAAGUCGGACUAAUAC